rnacentral:rRNA from 1 species
AGCGAACGCUGGCGGCAGGCCUAACACAUGCAAGUCGAACGGACCUUCGGGUUAGUGGCGGACGGGUGAGUAACACGUGGGAACGUGCCUUUUGGUUCGGAACAACUCAGGGAAACUUGAGCUAAUACCGAAUGUGCCCUUCGGGUGAAAGAUUUAUCGCCAUUAGAGCGGCCCGCGUCUGAUUAGCUUGUUGGUGAGGUAAAGGCUCACCAAGGCUACGAUCAGUAGCUGGUCUGAGAGGAUGAUCAGCCACAUUGGGACUGAGACACGGCAACAACUCCUACGGGAGGCAGCAGUGGGAAAUCUUGCGCAAUGGGCGAAUGCCUGACGCAGCCAUGCCACGAAAAUGAGAAAGGUCUUAGGAUUGUAAAAGGAGGGAACCGGGGACGAUAAUGACGGUACCCGGAGAAGAAGCCCCGGCUAACUUCGUGCCAGCCGCCGCCGUAACAC